rnacentral:rRNA from 1 species
CAGUAGCCGCGGGAAUACGAAGGGUGCAAGCGUUACUCGGAAUUACUGGGCGUAAAGCGUGCGUAGGUGGUGGUUUAAGUCCGUUGUGAAAGCCCUGGGCUCAACCCGGGAAUUGCAGUGGAUACUGGGUCACUAGAGUGUGGUAGAGGAUAGUGGAAUUUCCGGUGUAGCAGUGAAAUGCGUAGAGAUCGGAAGGAACAUCUGUGGCGAAGGCGACUAUCUGGGCCAACACUGACACUGAGGCACGAAAGCGUGGGGAGCAAACAGGAUUAGAUACCCGCGUAGUCCCUGUCUCUUAUAC